GUAUAUCUGCGAGAUGCUACGGAACGAAGCGAUAGAACGUCUUUCAGAGGAGCUGAGCGAGACGUCGUUGUGUCGUCGGCUGAGCUUGAGCAGUUCGUAGUAGAUCACUUUAUUCUACGUUUUCGACUUAUCGAAGGAGAAGUCGGUCUGACGAAGAGACCCCGAUGGUGAAUGCAACAUCGAAGUAACCAGUACGGGCUAAAUGAAGUAGAAGAUAGAAUAUCUGCUGGAGUUUGCGAUUAUCAGGACGCAGUUUCGACGGACGUCGAUGCCGUACCGGAGGAUCCGGUUCGGGCCAAGCAGAGUCGGC